rnacentral:lncRNA from 1 species
AUAGCAUCCAUGUUGUUGCUGGAUCUUCUUUUUUUUCAUGUAGGUCUGUUGCUAUUUGCUUUCUUCUAGACUUGCAGUAAGUCAACAUAAUCUUCAAAAAUACGUACCAGUAUAUAUUGAUUCUUCGCUCUUUAUAUGGCAUUUUAUCCAGUCCAUGUGCUGACACUUUGUUGUACUUGCUUGUGGUCAUUUAUCUGAUGUUUAUUUCUGCUCUUUUCAAAUGUCCACGCAAAAUAGUUCUCACAAGGGCUAGGGUUUCUCUCCAUCAGUCCCAAAAAGCAAAUGAUAGCAUAAUAGCAAAGUGAUAGCAUAAUAGUAAGUGUAAGGCAAGAAUGAUGAGUGGAAGUAGGUAUUCUAGAGAAUAUAUUUGUCAUACAUACAACCAUAAAAUCUUAGCAUCUAUUAAGAAGCUUAGUACAAGAGAACAAACCACACCAGAGAGAGCAGAAGAGAUUAAAAAUAUCAUUAAAGCCUUAAUCUUAUGACAGUACAGAGCUGUUAACACCAGUAAGGCAUCUUUGCCCAAAUGCAUAAAGCAAGCAGCAGUGUUUUGAAUUUAAGCUUUUUGCUGUAGUUUUUGUUUGUUUUCAGUCACUCACCUCUUUCAGUACAGUAUCACUGUUGUUUCUGUAAUCUCCUUUGCGCUGCUGCUAGCUUCUUGUGCUUUGCUGCUCAGCUGCUUACUCACCCAUCUUUUAUACUGACAGCUACACCCUCACGUAAUAAUAACUUGUUUUUAUGCAGUGCAUUCACCUUAGUGAUUUACCCAACCUACUCAUAAGAUUGCAAACCAGAAAACACUCCUUUCACAGGACCCUGCCUGCAAGCAGGCUCUCUAGACUGUUAGUGGGAUGUUUUAUGUGAUUACAAGAUCGCCUCCAGUAUGGCUUCUAAGAUCAGGUGCAAACUAGUGAAGAAUUUCAAUCUGAAUCUUUUUUUUUCACAUGAAAUUACACUGAUUGGGAAAGGAUUUUCUGAAUGAAGCCACCAGAAAAACUACAUAGAAGUCUGAAGUAUUUGGCUGGACUUGUGCUGUGUUACUUGGACAUUCACCCAAAGCUGCUGUGCAGGGGAAAGAAAAGACAUCUGCACAGAGGUCAACUGCAUCUGAUUUGCCUUGUAGAUGGACCCACAGCUCUCUGGUUGUUUAAAGAGAUGAGAUCACAAGUUCCAGUUUUCCUACUAUGCAUCAGCAGGAAUGAGUUAAGGGAGUAAAGCAAGGUUAAAUCAGCUUGAUUUCAUCAGGUGGUAUCUUUUAGCAUUUGUUACUUGUGAAUCUAAAACUGAGUUUAAUGCACAGCACUUCUCUCAUACUAUGGAGU